UACAGAGGGGGCAAGCGUUAUUCGGAAUUAUUGGGCGUAAAGGGCGCGUAGGCGGCUUUGCAAGUGACGGGUCAAAUCCCACGGCUUAACCGUGGAACUGCCUGUCAGACUGCAUGGCUUGAGACCAGGAGAGGUGAGUGGAAUUCCCAGUGUAGCGGUGAAAUGCGUAGAUAUCUGGAGGAACACCGGUGGCGAAGGCGGCGUUCUGGACUGUUUCUGACACUGAAUAACGAAAGCCAGGGGAGCAAACGGG
rnacentral:rRNA from 1 species